UGAUGUUCGGACCCGCCAGCUCCGGGAGAGGCUCAGCCCGGCGCCCGCGCCCCGCGCCCGCAGCCCGCCCAGGCGGAGUCAGCCCGCGCUCCGCCCGCCGCGCUCCGGGCUCGGAGGUCCGGUCUCCGGGCUCGCCGCCUCCGGGGCCGGCUCCGCACCCCCGCGCCCCGCGCCCCGCGCCCCCGCGGGCGGAGCGCACCAUGCCGCAGCUGGACUCGGGCGGGGGCGGCGCGAGCGGCGGCGACGACCUCGGCGCGCCGGACGAGCUGCUGGCCUUCCAGGACGAGGGCGAGGAGCAGGACGACAAGAGCCGCGACAGCGCCGUGGGCCCCGAGCGCGACCUGGCCGAGCUCAAGUCGUCGCUGGUCAAUGAGUCCGAGGGCGCGGCCGGCGACGCUGGGGUCCCGGGGGCGGGCGCCAGGGCCCGCGGCGAGGCCGAGGUCGGGGCCGAGGCUCUCGGGCGGGAACACACUUCGCAGAGACUUUUCUCCGACAAACUUCCAGAGUCUCUGGAAGAUGGCCUGAAGGCCCCGGAGUGCGCCAGCGGCAUGUACAAAGACACCGUCUACUCCGCCUUCAAUCUGCUCAUGCACUACCCACCCCCCUCGGGAGCAGGGCAGCACCCCCAGCCGCAGCCCCCGCUGCACAAAGCCAGUCAGCCUUCCCACGGCGUCCCCCAGCUCUCUCCUCUCUAUGAACAUUUCAGCAGUCCGCACCCCACACCUGCACCAGCUGACAUCAGCCAGAAGCAAGGAGUUCACAGGCCGCUGCAGACCCCUGACCUCUCCGGCUUCUACUCUCUGACCUCGGGCAGCAUGGGACAGCUCCCCCACACUGUCAGCUGGCCCAGCCCUCCUCUCUACCCCCUGUCCCCUUCCUGCGGAUAUAGACAGCACUUCCCUGCCCCCACUGCAGCCCCUGGCGCCCCCUACCCCAGGUUCACCCACCCACCCCUGAUGCUAGGCUCGGGUGUACCUGGUCACCACGCUGCCAUCCCCCACCCAGCCAUUGUGCCCCCUUCAGGGAAGCAGGAACUGCAGCCCUAUGACCGCAGCCUGAAGACGCAGGCAGAAUCCAAGGGAGAGAAGGAAGCCAAGAAGCCAACCAUCAAGAAGCCACUCAACGCCUUCAUGCUGUACAUGAAGGAGAUGAGAGCCAAGGUCAUUGCAGAGUGCACGCUCAAGGAGAGUGCUGCUAUCAACCAGAUACUGGGCCGCAGGUGGCACGCGCUGUCGCGGGAAGAGCAGGCCAAGUAUUAUGAGCUGGCCCGCAAGGAGAGGCAGCUGCACAUGCAGCUAUACCCAGGCUGGUCGGCGCGGGACAACUAUGUGAGUGGCCACCAACACACAGUAGGGAACCUUCAAGACGCCACACUGCACGCAGGCCAGUCUCACCAGGGGAGGCAGGACUACUGUCCUUAGGGCACAAACGAGGAGGGGAGGUGGCAGAAUAGAGGUCCCAGGCCUCCCCUGGAUAGCUUAGAAGGGGACCGAAUGAGGGGAGCUGCCCCUAAAAGCAGGCUGAAGGAUCCCAUUUGCCCCAGAAUGCACUUCCACACGGGGCUGCUGGCCAGUAUUUGACUGGACCACAUCAGCACAAGCGGGAGGAGAAGCCCAACUGCCCCAUGGUAAUCUAGGAAAAACUCCAACUCCAGGGCCCCCAGAUCAGGGGAGACUGUGGGCCUGGAGUCCCAGCAGCAGCCAGACUAGGCAGUUAGCUGCAGGGAUUGCACCCCUCGUCUCAGUGACAGUGUCCACCUCCCAACAUCCUGUGAACAUCCUCCCCUUUGUGCCCUGCAGGGCAAGAAGAAGAGGCGGUCAAGGGAAAAGCAUCAGGAUUCCAACACAGGAGGAAAAAGAAAUGCAUUCGGUACUUACCCGGAGAAGGCCGCUGCCCCAGCCCCGUUCCUUCCGAUGACAGUGCUCUAGGCUGCCCCAAGUCCCCAGCCCCCCAGGACUCACCCUCAUACCUCCUGCUGCCCCACUUCCCCACAGAACUGCUCGCUAGCCCUGCGGAGCCAGCGCCUACAUCACCAGGUCUCUCAGCCGCCCUCAGCCUCCCAGCCCCCUGGGCCCCUUCAGGCCUCUCACAGCGACCUGCAGAGUACACAGGUACAGCAACCGCAAUCGCAGAGAAAGGCAGCCUAGCAUGCACAGGACACACAGCUUCCUCCAGGAGCCCACUCUCUGAGAAGAGACGACAGAGCCCCAAAGCACGUGGAAACCGGCCAGGGGCCCUGUUAACUCUCUCUCAGGGUCCCAGCCCCAGAGAGUUCAGAGGCUGCCCAACUUCUGCCUGAACCUGGGCCAUCAAUUCAAACUGCUCCAAGUAGCUGGAAUCAGGUCUGUGUUGUGUCAUCUGAUUCAGAGCAUCCCUCAUGCCUCUGGCAGACUGCAUCUAUUUCUACCAUCUGUCUUGCUAGCCAAAUGCCCCUGAUCCCCUUUCUGCUUUAGUCCAUAGAUGGGCUGGACUGAGCCAAACUGCUUUCCCUACCCCACCCCAGCCCCAUCACUGCCACGCCCUCCCCAUACCAGAUACUUCAUGGACCAAGAAAGAGCUGGGUUACCCAACAACAUGUGAGCAGGUCACAACCACAAAGCUCAAGACGACAGUGCUUCUCCCUCAAGGGCCUGGAGAAGCCCUGUUUACAGAAAAUCAGCUGCUGUCUAUAAGAUGGACCAGGGGAAGCCUUUUGCCACAUUCUCAGGACCUUACAAGAAGAGCAGUGAAUGGAACAGGUUAGGUUUAGACCUAUCACAAGGGUAACAGGAAUAACCUGACACUACCUUACAGACAAGUGGGGGCGGGGGCGGGGAAUGUUCCAGUUUGAAUCACUUGGAAAUGUUCCUGAGAAACUCAACCGCCUAAGAAGCCCUGAUAACAAAUGCCCCAGUCACUAGAGGCUGCAACCAACAGUUUCAGGGCUUGAAAUCCAGCAUGCACCCCUACCCACUUUUGAGAGCCUUUCUCAUGACUGAUUUCCCGUUCAUUCACUGUCUAGCCAGCUCUUAAACAGUUGUGAGAGGGGCAAACCACACCUCACACAGAGCCAGUGCCUAUCUUCUAGCAUGAAACUAGGUUCCCUGUGAGGCUGCAGGAAGGAAGACCGUGAUAACCAAAGCAAGAAGCCCAAAAAAAUCUCCUAUAGUGGACAGUGGGUUUUCACCACAGCCUACUUUAACCCAUUUCUGAGCCAAGCUUCAACCCUGAGCCUUACACAAUAUUUUUUUUUUUUUUGGCCACUCACGGCAGGUAGAAGUUUCUAGACCAGGGACUGAACCUGCACCACAGCAGUGACCCAAGCCACUGCAGUGACAAGGCCAGGUCCUUAACCCACUGAGCCACAAGACAACUCCAAACAAAUCUUUAAAAUUUAACUUAGUUGGAGUUUUGUUUCGACUGUACAUAGCCUGAACAGCAAAGAAAAAGGGCUAUCCCCAUACCCCACACACCCCUCAACAAAAGCCUUUAGUUCUUACUUUAGCCACUGGCUUCUCUGAAUCCAAAGAGCCUAUGUUCUAGUUUAGCGCCACAAGAAUUCUUGGGAGAAAAAAGGACCACUGUAGUAUUCAAAAUAUUUUUGUAUUGUUAAUGCGUAUCAUAGAAGAACUUUUCUGACAUGAGAAUAAAGAUACUUUUUACUGGGUUUCUUUUUCGAAGCUUGACCCUGAGGAUUAAGCUGUUUCAAUAACAAGAGGAUGACACGUUCCUCUGCUUCUCCACAGCCACCAAACUUGAGCUUUACUCUCUUAGUACGCAUGUUCUCGAGAAUCAACCCACACAAGCCAGGGAUUACUCCCGUCCCCUCUCCUUAAGGGCCAUGGGCACUGCUCCAACCCAGACAACAGAGCUCAUUGAGGUGUAAGCUCCCGUUCCACGCCCUGAUCUUAACCCCCUAAUCCUCUGGCCUCACACCUGAUGCAGGCACAGGCCCGCCUGCCUCCACCGCUCAUUUGAGAAUGGGGUGGAAAUUGGUACCUACGGUCCUUAAGCCCCAACCAGAGAGAGAAGCACAUCACCACCAGGUUCCAGUUUCCUCUGAAGGCAGAGAGAAAAGAAAACACAAGUAUACAUCCUAUUUUGAGGAAAACAAAACACAGGCAUCUUUUAUAACCUGGUAUCAUCAUAAAAUCUAAAAGGAAGGUAUUUUAAAUAGCACCCUUUCCUCCCAAAGACUGUUUAAGGUACAUGAAGCAUUUCUUAAAGUAUUUCUGUUAACUUCUCGAGCCCCGUCAUGAAUGUAAAAGGCGUCAUAAAGCCAGCGCAAAUGUCAGUCAAGCAGCAGAUAUAAAUGUUGGGCAAGAAGUUAUCACAACCAGGCACGGGGCCACUGUCAUGUAUUGUAAUUUCCAUUUCACUGAGUUACACUUUUUGAAUUUUAUGUUUAAAAAUAUUUAUAAAUAAAGUCAUCUUCCAGAGUAGUGUCUAUUUAAAGUAGGCCACUGGAAGUUGUAAUCCUGGACUUGCUUCUUUCUGGAAGGAUGCUAGAGACCAGCCAUUCUCUUGACAUCUGUCCCAUUUAAAGAAUUCUGCUCUGGCUACUGGCCUAGUUGUUUCAAAAAACUACACUUAAAAAAAAA